AACACCCCAAACUUUAAAUGUUACCUCGGAUCAGGUAGGAAUACCCCGCUGAACUUAAGCUAUCAAUAGCCGGAGG
rnacentral:rRNA from 1 species